rnacentral:lncRNA from 1 species
UGGAAGAGCUCUGUCUCUGUGCCUUUCAAGUAAACUGACGAUAAACAGAACUUCGAAAAAAGGAAACGCUCGUGGCAUGAAAAGCCUGGUGUGAAACUGUGAAAGGAUCACCUAGCGCCCUUCACUAUGCUUUUAAUCAGAAGCAGUUAGGCUUCAAAAAUAAGGUCUGCAUGUCUGCACAGAGAUCACCCAGCUUCUCUAUAAGGUGUGCACGGAGAUCACCCAGCUUCUCUAUAAGGUGCACACGGGAUCACCCAGCUUCUCUAUAAGGUCUGCACGGAGGUCACCCAGCUUCUCUAUAAGGUGUGCACAGAGAUCACCCAGCUUCUCUAUAAGGUGCACACGGGAUCACCCAGCUUCUCUAUAAGGUCCGCACGGAGGUCACCCCAGCUUCUCUAUAAGGUGCACACGGGAUCACCCCAGCUUCUCUAUAAGGUGUGCACGGAGGUCGCCCAACUUCUCUAUAAGGUGUGCACGGAGGUCGCCCAGCUUCUCCAUACGAUGUUUAUGGAGAUCACCCCAGUGUCUCUAUAAGGUGCACACGGGAUCACCCCAGCUCCUCUAUAAGGUGUGCAUGGAGGUCGCCCAGCUUCUCUAUAAGGUGCACACGGGAUCACCCCAGCUUCUCUAUAAGGUGCACACGGGAUCACCCCAGCUUCUCUAUAAGGUGUGCACGGAGGUCGCCCAGCUUCUCUAUAAGGUGUGCACGGAGGUUGCCCAGCUUCUCUAUAAGGUGCACACGGGAUCACCCAGCUUCUCUAUAAGGUCUGCAUGGAGAUCACCCAGCUUCUCUGUAAGGUGUGCACGGGAUCACCCCAGCUUCUCUAUAAGGUGUGCACAGAGGUCACCCAGCUUCUCUAUAAGGUCUGCAUGGAGAUCACCCAGCUUCUCUGUAAGGUGUGCACGGGAUCACCCCAGCUUCUCUAUAAGGUGCACACGGGAUCACCCAGCUUCUCUAUAAGGUCUGCAUGGAGAUCACCCAGCUUCUCUGUAAGGUGUGCACGGGAUCACCCCAGCUUCUCUAUAAGGUGUGCACGGAGGUCGCCCAGCUUCUCUUUCCACGGCUGUUUCAGAACGUCACAAGUCUCCGUGCUGCACUAUUCAGCUUUGCUGCCUCAUCUAACUGGAAGACAGCAGGUGUCCCGAUGACCCUUUAUGAGGAGGUGAGAGGACAGCUUCCGCCUGGGCUGGGUUUGGGGUGGGGCUCAGUCGCCCUGUCCCCAGGGGAGACUUCCUAGCUGUGUGAGGGCCUGAGGCUCACAGGAGCCCCG